AUGGCAAACAUUCCCUUCCUGGUGAGCGUACACCCAAACAUCACGAUCACGCCGCCCAAGGUGAGGGUGCUGCCGCCCUCCCGUCGGGAAAACUGCGACGAGAGGAGAAGCAGAGAUAAGACCCCGAAAGUGACCCUGCUGUGCGUGGCCACGGGCUUCUACCCCGACCACAUCAGUGUGUCCUGGCAGCUGAACGGACAGGACAUCAGCAGGGGGGUCAGGACGGACGACGUCGCAACCCGCAACGCUGACGACAGGUUCUACAGCAUCACCAGCAGACUGCGAGUCCGGUCCAACAAGUGGUUCAACACCAGGAACGUCUUCACCUGCACGACCAGCUUCUACAAUGGCAACCAUACCCUGGAGAACGCGGACUCCAUUAGAGGAGCUAAAGGGGGGAUGAAGGAUGACCUGGUGGCAGCACGUCUGGCCUAUGGACUCCUCCUCUGCAAAAGCUUCCUCUACGCUGUGGUGGUGAGCGUGUUGCUAUGGAAACGCAAGGUGUGUACUGUGUCCUCUGCAGUUAUUCAUGUGUGA